rnacentral:rRNA from 1 species
UACGGGGGGAGCAAGCGUUGUUCGGAUUUACUGGGCGUAAAGGGCGCGUAGGCGGCCUCUGCAAGUCGACUGUGAAAUCUCCGGGCUUAACCCGGAACGGUCAGCCGAUACCGCAGGGCUAGAGUGCAGAAGGGGCAGCCGGAAUUCUCGGUGUAGCGGUGAAAUGCGUAGAUAUCGAGAGGAACACCUGCGGCGAAGGCGGGUUGCUGGGCUGACACUGACGCUGAGGCGCGAAAGCUAGGGGAGCGAACGGG